CCUACGGGUGGCAGCAGUGGGGAAUAUUGCACAAUGGGGGAAACCCUGAUGCAGCGACGCCGCGUGAGUGAAGAAGUAUUUCGGUACGUAAAGCUCUAUCAGCAGGGAAGAAAAUGACGGUACCUGACUAAGAAGCCCCGGCUAACUACGUGCCAGCAGCCGCGGUAAUACGUAGGGGGCAAGCGUUAUCCGGAUUUACUGGGUGUAAAGGGAGCGUAGACGGCAGCGCAAGUCUGGAGUGAAAUCCCAUGGCUUAACCAUGGAACUGCUUUGGAAACUGUGCAGCUAGAGUGCAGGAGAGGUAAGCGGAAUGCCUAGGGUAGCGGUGAAAUGCGUAGAUAUUAGGAGGAACACCAGUGGCGAAGGCGGCUUACUGGACUGUAACUGACGUUGAGGCUCGAAAGCGUGGGGAGCAAACAGGAUUAGAUACCCCGGUAGUC
rnacentral:rRNA from 1 species